AGCCAUCCCGCGUGAAGGACGACUGCCCUAUGGGUUGUAAACUUCUUUUGUAUAGGGAUAAACCUACCCUCGUGAGGGUAGCUGAAGGUACUAUACGAAUAAGCACCGGCUAACUCCGUGCCAGCAGCCGCGGUAAUACGGAGGGUGCAAGCGUUAUCCGGAUUUAUUGGGUUUAAAGGGUCCGUAGGCGGACUUAUAAGUCAGUGGUGAAAGCCUGUCGCUUAACGAUAGAACUGCCAUUGAUACUGUAAGUCUUGAGUAUAUUUGAGGUAGCUGGAAUAAGUAGU
rnacentral:rRNA from 1 species